GAUUAAAACAAAAAAAGCUCCGUCUGAUCUCAGAAGCUAAGCCGAGUAGGGCCUCGUUAGUACUUGGAUGGAGGACCGCCUGGGAAUCCCAGGUGCUGUAAGCU
rnacentral:rRNA from 1 species